AGUGUAUGUUUUGCACUGCAGCCAUCACCCCUGGAUUCUGGAUGCAGAAGGAACAUUGUGGACAAGGGAUGGGGAGGAAGUAGAAAUAUGGUUCCAGUCUGGGGCUGAGUUUCAUCUUCCAAUCCAGGUUUUAUUGGUUUUUAAAACUUAAUUUUUGAAUAUUCAUUUGACUCCUGUGCUUGUUUCUCAAUUGCUUCAGAGGAAAAGGAUGGCUUUGUCAAACUUGUAUUUGUCCCUGGGGUAAAGGGCUUCAAUGCUGAGCAUCGAGCAUAAGGAGUUGGAGAAAGAGAUGUGGGUGAUUUACCUCUGCCAUGUAAGUCCUCCAUUAUUUGUCUUGUCUUAGUCCUAUUUCUUCCUUGUACCCAUCAAAGCAUUGGCAUUUCUUAGUCUGCAUCUUCUUGGGGGUUCUGCUGAAUAAGUCCGCUUUUCAUUAGCUGCAACUUUCUUUUCAAGUGUUCUAGGUUUUGUCUUUCUGUUCUUGGAUUAAUGACUCACGCAUUCAUCUCUUUUUGUCUGUCAGAAAUGUGUUUAAACCUGUCUUUAAUUGAUGCCCCCACCCUGCUCUCAGCUGUCAACUUAUUUAUUUACCUUUUUUACCUUUAUUUUACUUGCAUGUUGGGACCUGAAAAAAGUGGAGGUGGGUACGUACCAAUGCUUUAUCUACUAUCUUGCCCUGACGAAUCCACCUCUCACAUGAAACAGUGAGUUACUGAAAGGCAGCAAUUGUACCUUUUUGUCUUUGUAUUUCUAGUGCUUAUCUUGGGGCCUGGAAUAUAUUACAUGUUCAAAAAAGUGUGGGAUAAAAGAAAACAAAGAUACUUCUAUCCUAGGCAGAUGUGUGGUAUCUAAAGGUCAUGGCAUUGUCACUGCACAAUUCUUGCAGAAAGCAAGGCUGUGCUGUGUGAAGCAAAAUGUCGCAACAAAGUCUGCCAUCAUUCCAAAUCCUUCAUGUGAUAAUUUCUGAAUUAAAGUGUUAUUAUAAUGAGGAAAAAUGAGGAAAUGGCAAAUUUUCUUAAUAAGGAAAAUAGUAAAACCAUGAGCCUGUGAAAUUAAUAAGACUUUAUAAAUGCAAUAUAUUUACAAUGAAAAUCUCAUGCAAGGGAAAUAUUUAAAUUACAUGAAAUCCUUGCACAGAACAGCAAUGAUAAAUAUAUUUGGAUUUAAUGGCAUGUACUCAUCAAAUACUCAUAUCUGUGCAUCAUAUAAAACAUUUAUAUACAAUUACAUUUGUCACCAAUGCAGGCGGUUGAUAGCUCAGUAACUCAUUCUAUGUCAUUGAUUCAGAACAAUGAUCUUUAAAUAUUACCUACAUGGUAGCUCUGCAGGGGUUUUAAAUGAGUAACGUUAUUAUAACUUCUAAGUGUUUAUGGGGAACAUGCAAUGUAAUUCAACAUCAUAGUGAAAUGUUGUCUUUUUAAAAAGACAAAGUAAACCAAAGCAGUGUGUUUUCUUUUUCAAAACUCAGUGAACAUUUUUCUAAAUGCCAUUUCGUAUCUUACUUACAUAAAAGAGAGAAAAGAUAAAUUCCUACUUAAAAGUCAACUGACACCCUGAUGCUAUACAAUUACCACCCCAUUACGCUAGUGUUUCAGACGAGGAAAUAGAAUCCUAAAGAUAGUUUAAUGUGCGCUCAAUACUACAAAGUUAUUUACAGUGUUAGAACUAGAAAUAAGAACACCUGGAUUCUAGCUCAAUCUAUUACUCUUUGUAUUACGCAGUUUAUGGCCCAUAUGUGGAAAAAUCAGGGAAAACAGGAAACCAUCUGAAAGAUAAUGGUUUGAGUAGACCUAUGCUUUAAAAGACUGGUCUUCAGGUCCAAAGAAAACAAGGAACGAUUCUUUACAAACUAUAUCCACAAAGAAUUCAAGGGAACAAAGCAGCUUAAGACAACCUGGGCCUUAAAAGAGGAAACUAGGGAUGUUGUUUCGUGAUUUCUCAUUAAUAGUUUCUGAAUGACUGAAUAUGGAUUGCUGCCAGUUAGGGCUGGUGUCACCUUUCUCAAUGACACAUCCAUGUUGUUCUCCACAUAGCACUUCUAUCGACCCAUACUGACAUGAACCACACCUUAAGAGUGUACCCUCUUUGGUAAGAAGAUGAAAAACUUGGCAGCACAGAUGGCACUGUCAUCACAUAGUCUUACUGAGAGUUAGGAGUUGAGAAAAUAACCUAACAUGUGAACAAUGAAUGUGCAGAUGGUAUCAAUAAACAGCAUCUGAAUUCCUGGAUAAUGGAAUUGCAUGUCAGAAUUACGAGCUCAUAGCUGGGGGUGAAGUUCACCUUAUGAGUAAAAGAAAAAUUAUUUUUACUAGAGCCUGCAGUGCCUGCUCAGAGGGCUUUGUUCUAAAUAUAGAUCAAUGGAGGAGAAAAAGGUAGUAAAUGUCAGACAAUGACUAGCGAAUGAGCAAAGCACAAACAAAAGGGGGAUAAAUGGUUUAGAUGAUGUCACAUAUCAUCACAAAAUGUCUGGCUGGGGUUACCUGGUUGCCCCUCUGGCCACUUGCCCAGGAAUGUACCUUGGCAACUAUGUGCUCAUUUUUGUUCUGAGGCUUUUGUGGCCUUGUAAAAAUAUUUGAAACAGUAGUCUGAAAAAUGUAACAUGAUUAAUAAAAGAUCAACUGUUAUUGGUUUCCGUAUGGGAUAUGUCUAGGCAGAAGACUGUUAUUUUCUAUAACAAGAGGAUUCUACUCAGACACUAUAAAACAUUUUCUGAGGCUCAGUCUCAGUAAGCUGUAAGUAGAAUGUGCUGUCCUAAAACAUAAAAGUAAAUCUUUUCCUAAAUAUUUGCUUCAAGGAGCAUAUUUCAGUAGAUGCAGCAUAGUAUGAAGACACAAGAAUUUGCUAGACAACCUCUGCCUAGGCUUUCCAGCACAGGGUGUCCUUUCAGACAGUGAUGCACAUCAGUGAAACAAAGGGCAGGAACAGGGAUGUCUGUCUGAUCUUACAGAGGAGCUGCCCUUUGGAUGACUAUAAUGUCUAACUAUUUUAAGCCCUAUAUCUGGGUUUCCUGAGUUUUUACCUCUGCCUCCAAUUGUCUAUGCUUGGAAGAGUAAUAAUUAGUUCUGUAAUUCUUUAAUAUUCACAUAUGUAAUUAUUACUUUGCAUUCAUUGAGCUGUGAAAAUUUCUGUCUUCUGCUUUAGAGAUAUCGGAUUGGCAAAAAUAAAUGAAUUUCAUCUGAAGAGAAUUAACACAAGCAUACACAUAUACACAGGAGUGCACAUAAAAAUUAAUCUUCAAGAGGAUAGAAACAGGGGAUGGUGUAGUUCCUGCCAUGAAGUACAGAUCAACUGGUACCAGAGAUUCAAAAUUGUGGAAUGGAUCAUGGGGAUUUCUCUCUUCCCUGUCAUAAAGAGUAAUUCAAUCAGGAAAACUGACAUGCAUUGUUGUAUUGUGGGUGCAACAGCUGAGAAGAUGAAAAAGACAUAGAGAAAGGGGAUAUUGGAAAUAAAAGGAUGUUAAAAUGAUAUAAUUUUUAAGAAGGUUGAGAAGGAAUAUGGGAUAUUUAUAUUCCUCUAAAUUUGAUAGAUAAUGAUGUCCACAAAGAAGAGUUUGCUGAAAUAAUUUUAAAUUUUGGUGAGCACAGACUAUCAAUGCCAAACGCAAUGGGUAAUUUUCUGUGUCAGCUUGGCUAGGCUGUGAUCUCCAAGUGUUUGUUCAAACAGCAAUCGUAGAUGUCCUUGUGAAGGUAUUUUUAGGUAAGAUUAACAUUUAAAUCAGUAGUCUUUGAGUAAAGCAGAUGACCUGCAAUAAUGUGAGUGGGUCUCAAAUUUGUUUUAAGUUGAAGGCCUUAAGAGAGAAAGAUUAAGGUCAUCCAUGAAAGAGGGAAUUCUGCUACCAGAUUGCAUUUGGACUCAAGCUGCAAUAUCAGCUCUUCCCUGGGUCUCCAACCUGACAGCCUGUCCUAUAGAUAAGAGCUUGCCAGUCCCCACAAUCACAUGACACAUGAGCCAGUCCUUUUUUUUUUAGCCAAUUCUUUAAAAUUCUUCUCCUCUCUCUCUCUCUCUCUCCCCCGCCUCUCCCUCUCUCUCUCCCUUCUUUCUCUGUGUAUACACAUGCACGCGUGCACGCGCGCACACACACACACACACACACACACUCAUCCUAUUAGUUCCGUUUCUCUGGAGAACCCAGACUAAUGUACUUCCUCAGUAAUUGUUUUAGCAUUCUGGAUUCUGUUACUUUACUAUCAGCCUUAAAAUUGCAAAAAGAAGAAGGAAAGUUUUAUCAACCAUUUCAGACACUAAGUUUUCAGCCUUUUGGGAUCAAGGAAAAUACAAUCCAUAUGUUUUGGACUCACUUGCUAUUAUCCAGAACAUUAUAUCGGAGAUGGUUUAAAAUUUCUGGCUGGUUCAAUAUACGCAAAUCAAUAAAUGUAAUCCAGCAUAUAAACAGAACCAAAGACAAAAACCACAUGAUUAUCUCAAUAGAUGCAGAAAAAGCCUUUGACAAAAUUCAACAACACUUCAUGCUAAAAACUCUCAAUAAAUUAGGUAUUGAUGGGACAUAUUUCAAAAUAAUAAGAGCUAUCUAUGACAAACCCACAGCCAAUAUCAUACUGAAUGGGCAAAAACUGGAAGCAUUCCCUUUGAAAACUGGCACAAGACAGGGAUGCCCUCUCUCACCACUCCUAUUCAACAUAGUGUUGGAAGUUCUGGCCAGGGCAAUUAAGCAGGAGAAGUAAAUAAAGGGUAUUCAAUUAGGAAAAGAGGAAGUCAAAUUGUCCCUGUUUGCAGACGACAUGAUUGUAUAUCUAGAAAACCCCAUUGUCUCAGCCCAAAAUCUCCUUAAGCUGAUAAGCAACUUCAGCAAAGUCUCAGGAUACAAAAUCAAUGUAAAAAAAUCACAGGCAUUCUUAUACACCAAUAACAGACAAACAGAGAGCCAAAUCAUGAGUGUACUCCCAUUCACAAUUGCUUCAAAGAGAAUAAAAUACCUAGGAAUCCAACUUACAAGGGAUGUGAAGGACCUCUUCAAGGAGAACUACAAACCACUGCUCAAGGAAAUAAAAGAGGAUACAAACAAAUGGAAGAACAUUCCAUGCUCAUGCGUAGGAAGAAUCAAUAUCAUGAAAAUGGCCAUACUGCUCAAGGUAAUUUACAGAUUCAAUGCCAUCCCCAUAAAGCUACCAAUGACUUUCUUCACAGAAUUGGAAAAAACUACUUUAAAGUUCAUAUGGAACCAAAAAAGAGCCCGCAUUGCCAAGGCAAUCCUAAGCCAAAAGAACAAAGCUGGAGGCAUCACACUACCUGACUUCAAACUAUACUACAAGGCUACAGUAACCAAAACAGCAUGGUACUGGCACCAAAACAGAGAUAUAGAUCAAUGGAACACAACAGAGCCCUCAGAAAUAAUGCCGCAUAUCUACAACUAUCUGACCUUUGACAAACCUGAGAAAAACAAGCAAUGGGGAAAGGAUUCCCUAUUUAAUAAAUGGUGCUGGGAAAACUGGCUAGCCAUAUGUAGAAAGCUGAAACUGGAUCCCUUCCUUACACCUUAUACAAAAAUCAAUUCAAGAUGGAUUAAAGACUUAAUCGUUAGACCUAAAACCAUAAAAACCCUAGAAGAAAACCUAGGCAUUACCAUUCAGGACAUAGGCAUGGGCAAG
rnacentral:lncRNA from 1 species